AGUUACAAGUUGCAAGGCAACAAAGCAACAAGACUAACUCAAGAGUCUUGAGUGAUGACCCAACCCAACCCAAAAUUAGCAAGAAACACUAGAACAAUAUGGCUGUAAACUAUCUUAUUUUUCACAUGAUUAAAUCUAAAAACAUAAAAAAUAUAUUUAAAUAUUCGAAAAGUUCCACGUAUUAGCCAAUUGGUUACUAACUCAGUUACUACACUCUCAAGGAGGCUAAGAAAACCGAAAAUUUUUACUUGACAUUAACGUCGCUUCUAUAACAUGAGUGCAAAAUUAGUACAAAAGUUCUAAGAAAAAUUAGCUCACAGAAUUCACAAAUCAAAGGAAGCAAUGGAAUACCUAACCGAUUUUAAAAAAUUACUUGAAAAAUUACAAAAAAUAUGUGCUUCCAAAGUCUGGACGGUCGGACUGAACUUAAAC